rnacentral:rRNA from 1 species
GAUGAACGCUGGCGGCGUGCCUAAUACAUGCAAGUAGAACGCUGAAGGAGGAGCUUGCUCUUCUGGAUGAGUUGCGAACGGGUGAGUAACGCGUAGGUAACCUGCCUGGUAGCGGGGGAUAACUAUUGGAAACGAUAGCUAAUACCGCAUGACAACAGUUAUUGCAUGAUAACUGUUUAAAAGGGGCAACUGCUCCACUACCAGAUGGACCUGCGUUGUAUUAGCUAGUUGGUGAGGUAACGGCUCACCAAGGCGACGAUACAUAGCCGACCUGAGAGGGUGAUCGGCCACACUGGGACUGAGACACGGCCCAGACUCCUACGGGAGGCAGCAGUAGGGAAUCUUCGGCAAUGGACGGAAGUCUGACCGAGCAACGCCGCGUGUGUGAAGAAGGUUUUCGGAUCGUAAAGCUCUGUUGUAAGAGAAGAACGAGUGUGAGAGUGGAAAGUUCACACUGUGACGGUAUCUUACCAGAAAGGGACGGCUAACUACGUG